AUCCCCUAGAAAUUACCCAUUUCUCAUCUCGCUCCCGAAAAAUUCUCGGAAUCUCCUGUCUACUGGGAUCGGAUCUGUAAUUGCCCGUUCCUAGCUAUGGAACUCUAUUCCAUAUAAAAUUUUAAUAAUUUAUACUACUACAAAAUCAUAACGAGCCGACAUGAGUCGUGGGUUAGUUCAAUAGUUUCUGAGGCGCAAAUACGGCUAACCAACAGUCCAAUUUCUCGAGUCCGAUGAUAAAGAUUUUGGUGUUUUGUGCUUUCUUGGAGGAAAAGUGUACCGAAACGAGGAACGAAGACAAUGGUGGCCGGCGCGGCUAAUAGUGAAUUUACGGGACAUGAUCAUACAGAACAUGGCCGGCUUCUGUGCACCAGCUCUCAAGUCAGACAAAUCUCGUGCACAUGUAAAAUUAUAUAGCAACUCUGAUCAUCAAAUUGAUGGUUUCUAUCCUCCUAUUACAUGUAAGUGCUCACGCUAGUUUUCACCUUUUUUUUUUUCGAGAUUUGUUUUUCAGUGUAAUGAGUUUUUUUUGUAUUGUUACAAAUUCAGGAUUAAGGGAAUUGGUUAAAAAGAUAGGGCUUCUAACGUGUUUUUGAAAUUGAGGAUGUUUUUUGGCUUGAUGUCUGACGAAAUAGCCAAUGCAGUUCUGGAGUUCGAUGAAAAGGAUCCGUUUACUUUGUUCUAACUCGGAAAAAGAGUGUUCCAGAGAAUUCCUGAGAACGAGAUGCAAAGACAGUGGUGGUUGGUUAAUAGUGAAUUUAGGGAAGACAAUGGUGGCCGGCGCGGCUAAUAGUGAAUUUACGGGACAUGAUCAUACAGAACAUGGCCGGCUUCUGUGCACCAGCUCUCAAGUCAGACAAAUCUCGUGCACAUGUAAAAUUAUAUAGCAACUCUGAUCAUCAAAUUGAUGGUUUCUAUCCUCCUAUUACAUGUAAGUGCUCACGCUAGUUUUCACCUUUUUUUUUUUCGAGAUUUGUUUUUCAGUGUAAUGAGUUUUUUUUGUAUUGUUACAAAUUCAGGAUUAAGGGAAUUGGUUAAAAAGAUAGGGCUUCUAACGUGUUUUUGAAAUUGAGGAUGUUUUUUGGCUUGAUGUCUGACGAAAUAGCCAAUGCAGUUCUGGAGUUCGAUGAAAAGGAUCCGUUUACUUUGUUCUAACUCGGAAAAAGAGUGUUCCAGAGAAUUCCUGAGAACGAGAUGCAAAGACAGUGGUGGUUGGUUAAUAGUGAAUUUAGGGAAGAUGAUCUUGAUUUGAUAUCGAGAAUGGCAGACUUGUUUCGACCAAUAAAUGCUUCUAAUUCGGAUUACAGUUAUUGUGUGCAUAUAAAUCCUUAUUUUUCAAACUCUGAUGACCAAAUUGUUGGUUCAGAUUCGCCUGUUAUAUCAUACAUGUAAUUAGUUUGUUUUUUGUAAAAAAUCUUGUAAGUUUUUGCUAAGGUAUAACUUUGUGUAUUUAACUGUAUGAUUACUGAUAUGUAUUCUGAGAUUUCUCUUGUUGCAGAUUCCAGAUUGAGAGACUUGGUUAAUAGGAUCAGGGGCUUUUCUGCAUUCCGAGAAUCAUUAGGCCAUCGUUACUGAAUUUGAGAAAAUCGGUCCCCAUAUAUGUUCUUCUAUCUUUCCCGUUAUUACUUCUGUGAUCCGUUCGUGGGGGUAACAUCAUAUGAAAUCAAGCAAAGGACCUGGCCUUUGAUUGAAAAACUUCUAACAAAGCCCUGUUCCCUUUCUAGACUGUUGAAUCUCCCAUUUUAACUUAAACAGAUAGCUAGAAGCUCACCUUAUGAAGAAAUUUUAUAAUCAAAUCGCCUGUUACAUGUAAGUGCUCACGCUAGUUUUCACCUUUUUUUUUUCGAGAUUUGUUUUUUCAGUGUAAUGAGUUUUUUUUGUAUUGUUACAAAUUCAGGAUUAAGAGAAUUGGUUAAAAAGAUAGGGCUUCUAACGUGUUUUUGAAAUUGAGGAUGUUUUUUGGCUUGAUGUCUGAUGAAAUAGCCAAUGCAGUUCUGGAGUUCGAUGAAAAGGAUCCGUUUACUUUGUUCUAACUCGGAAAAAGAGUGUUCCAGAGAAUUCCUGAGAACGAGAUGCAAAGACAGUGGUGGUUGGUUAAUAGUGAAUUUAGGGAAGAUGAUCUUGAUUUGAUAUCGAGAAUGGCAGACUUGUUUCGACCAAUAAAUGCUUCUAAUUCGGAUUACAGUUAUUGUGUGCAUAUAAAUCCUUAUUUUUCAAACUCUGAUGACCAAAUUGUUGGUUCAGAUUCGCCUGUUAUAUCAUACAUGUAAUUAGUUUGUUUUUUGUAAAAAAUCUUGUAAGUUUUUGCUAAGGUAUAACUUUGUGUAUUUAACUGUAUGAUUACUGAUAUGUAUUCUGAGAUUUCUCUUGUUGCAGAUUCCAGAUUGAGAGACUUGGUUAAUAGGAUCAGGGGCUUUUCUGCAUUCCGAGAAUCAUUAGGCCAUCGUUACUGAAUUUGAGAAAAUCGGUCCCCAUAUAUGUUCUUCUAUCUUUCCCGUUAUUACUUCUGUGAUCCGUUCGUGGGGGUAACAUCAUAUGAAAUCAAGCAAAGGACCUGGCCUUUGAUUGAAAAACUUCUAACAAAGCCCUGUUCCCUUUCUAGACUGUUGAAUCUCCCAUUUUAACUUAAACAGAUAGCUAGAAACUCACCUUAUGAAGACAUUUUAUCAUCAAAUCGCCCCCCCCACCCCCCACCCCCCAAGUCAUAGUGCAUUAUAAGUGUACUGGAGUAUUUUACUAAUCAAGUUAUUUGCGUGAUAUUCCAGUUCAACUCGUUAAUAUUCAAUUUUAAAAAAUAUACACUUGUGCUUGAGUUCAAACCAUUCAGAUAUAAAAGGAGAGCUGCAGUUUGAUCUCAGAAGCAAAACGAUUUCUUUUUUUUCCACAUCAUAGAAGUCAUGGUGUGUGUUCAAAACUAAUUAGUAUGUAAUUUUAUAUUUGAACGAGUCAAGGACAACUUGAACUUAACAUAUUUGAGUUCAUGUUAUGGACUGGGGCAGACCAUAAAGAACUGGCCAAAGCUUUGCAGUAUCAUGAUGAUGACAUGAUCUUGAUCUGAUGCUGAACAUGACCGGCUUGUUCGCACCAGCUCUCAAGUUAGAGAAAUCUCGCGCGCAUGUAAAAUUUUAUAUUUCAAACUCUGAUCGUCAAAUUGAU
rnacentral:lncRNA from 1 species